rnacentral:rRNA from 1 species
GGUCUCCGCGGACCCUCCCGGCCUCCCGCCUCCGGGCGUGGUCGGCGCCCGCCGGAGUGAUAACCAAACUCUGAUUUAACGACGUUUCUUCUGAGUGGUACAAGCAAAUAAUCAAAACUUUUAACAACGGAUCUCUUGGUUCUGGCAUCGAUAAAACGCAGCGAAAUGCGAUAAGUAAUGUGAAUUUGCAGAAUUCAGUGAAUCAUCGAAUCUUUGAACGCACAUUGCGCCCGCCAGCAUUCUGGCGGGCAUGCCUGUUCGAGCGUCAUUUCAACCCUCAAGCUCUGCUUGGUGUUGGGGCCCUACAGCUGAUGUAGGCCCUCAAAGGUAGGUGGGCGUGACCCUCCCGGAAGCCUUCCUUUGGCGGUAAGUAACCUUUUACGUCUCGGCACUGGGAUCCGGGAGUGGGACCUCUUGGGCCUGUAAAAACCCCCAAAUUUUUCCAAAAGGGUUGAACUCGGAAUCNAACGUUAGAAUACCCCGGGUUUAAACUUUAAGGCAUUAUUCAAUAAGCGGGAAGGAAACACUAAUCCAU